GAAAAUCCUUGGUAGGGGGAACCUGGAAUAUUAUUUCUUUCACAGAGUCUGAGUACUAUCCCAGAUUAUAAAUUCGUGUUCCUCCUUUGUUUUCCCUGGUACUUACUACAAGACAAAUAAAAUAUGCAACUUUUAUUCUUGCUUUAUUCUUCCCUAUAAAUAUUUGAUUAGGCCACAAUGUAUUGUGCUAAUAAGCCUUACUAGCUUAUAAGGACUUGUUUUUCAGGUCAUCCUCUAAGAAGGCCUAACCACAUCCAAGGGAGUGCUGUAGCCAGACAUCAGAUCCAAAGAAGAAAAACGUGCCUGGUCUGAGAAGGACAGCUCUCAGCUUUCUAAGCUUAAAAAGGAGGGGACGGGAACCUUCACCACAGCAGAAUCACCACUGGUUGCAUGUGAAAGACUGCCGUGGAAGAUCUGUGGUUUGGAGCCAGGUGUCCCGUGCUCGAGCUCGUGGGAGCGCACUCCUGUUACCACCGGCGAUAAGGAGGUAAGCCCUGGAGAAGCUGCCUGUGACUCCAGGCCAGGAGAGCUCCAGCCGAGGCUGGCCUUGCCAGCAGCACAGGUCUGCCCAGCCUGCGUGGGCUGGGGAGGCGUGAGGAGGUGA
rnacentral:lncRNA from 1 species